CCCCUGGUGGUCCAGUAGGUAAGACUCCACACUCCCAAUGCAGGGGGCCUGGGUUCAAUCCCUGGUCAGGGAA
rnacentral:tRNA from 1 species